UACGGGGGGCGCAAGCGUUGUUCGGAUUUACUGGGCGUAAAGGGCGCGUAGGCGGCCACCGCAAGUCGACUGUGAAAUCUCCGGGCUUAACCCGGAAAGGUCAGCCGAUACUGCGGGGCUAGAGUGCAGAAGGGGCAACUGGAAUUCUCGGUGUAGCGGUGAAAUGCGUAGAUAUCGAGAGGAACACCUGCGGCGAAGGCGGGUUGCUGGGCUGACACUGACGCUGAGGCGCGAAAGCCAGGGGAGCGAACGGG
rnacentral:rRNA from 1 species